AUUGACAGAUAUAUGUUUGUAUUUCUAGAUUGUGGGAGUAUCGUGGCCCUACUGGCGAUGAAGAUAUCUACCACUUGGACCUUGUCGUAGUUGACGAACAGAACAAUGCAAUGUAUGCUGAGAUACCAGCAGACCUGAUCUCGUAGUUCAAAGAGCAUGUUGCUGAAGGAGAAGUCAUCAAGAUAAAGAAAUUCUUGGUACAAAAUGCAAAAGCAGCAUUCAGAGUGGUUCAAGCUGACUACAUGAUCAGAUUUACCAAGUACACUCAGGUAGACAAAGUGGUUCCAAAACCAAAGAAUUUCCCAAGAUUUGUGUACAACUUAGUGCCAUUUUCAGAGAUUCCAUCUCAUGUUAAUAGCACUGCUCGCUUUCUAGAUGUCAUUGGAUAUGUUACUGCAAUCUCUAAUGUGACAAAGGUCUUCUCUGGAAACAAGCUGCAGUUAAGAAGAAACAUCACCAUCAAAGAUCGAAACGGUGACUCGCUUCAAGUAUCCUUAAUUGGACAAAGAGCAAUGGAAUUUCCAGAACAAAUGGUCCUGAAGAUCGCAAAGCAGAGUCCAGUUAUUGUAAUAUUUGUUGGCAUGCUUAUGAAAACAGGGUUUUUAAGUGGAUCUGCUGCUUGCCGCUGGUAUAUAAAUGAAGAAAUAGAGGAUAUACAACGUUUCUAUGAAAGCUUACCUCUAGAAAUAGAAGACAUGCAAAUUGUCCAACAGCAAAGUGAAGAUCAAAAUGUAGACAAGGUUCAAAAGAAGACACUACUCUAGCUCAACAAGAAAAUUAAUCCAUUUGAUCAUAGAAAUCUAAGAUUUGAGUGCACACUGACAGUAACAAAGCUGGCUCCAAACCAAGGAUGGUGGUACCUUGCCUGCAAGUCAUGCCAUUCAAGAACUCGAUUUCAAGAUGGCCAAUACAAAUGCACAAAACCUGAUUGCAGCUGCACUCAGUCAAUGAACAGGUACAAGCUUUGUAUAAUGGCAAGUGAUGGAACAGACGAGCUAGAAUUCAUACUUUUUGAUAAAAAAGCAGAACAUCUUAUUCGAAAGCUAGUUGACAAGUUAAUUGAUUCUUACAACAAAGACAAUGUCCCACACGAGAUACAAGCAUUAAUUGGGCAAAAGUUCACAUUUAUAGUCAAAAUCUCACCACUCAAGAGUGCCGGAAGCCCCAACAAUUCAUAUGAAGUGCUUUCUAUUGCAAAUCAGACCCCAGAUGAAAAAAGUACUACCAAUAAAAUGAGAGGUCCCAGUUCAGCAACAUCCACUACUCUAAAAAGCCUGCCACCACUACAAUGCUGUGAUAGCACAAGCUAUAGUCAACAGGAAUCUCACAAUGAAAAAUAUGAUGCCGAUUCAAAGGAAACUGAAGCUCCAACAAAAGAAGAACAAAAAGGAAACAAUAAAAGAGGAAAAACCUUGCAAGCUGACGAACCUGAGGACAAAGACACCGGUUCGAACCUCAAACUUAAACAGUGAUCAGCGACCAACAUGACCAAUGGACUCUUUUAGAUACUUUUGUGGACUAACAUCUUUUGCGACAAGAUAGGACAAAGUUUAUAUAUAUUAUGCACAAAGUGCCUUUUGAAUGUUAGGACCAUGAAAAUUGUAACAUGCAAAAGAUGACUAUGCUACACUCUAUUUUGCCUGUCCAGACAAAACAAUGCAUAUAUCUUUCAAACAUCUUACCAUGUUUCUAACUACAACAAUACCACGGCAACUAUACGUAUUAUAAUCGCAAA